UGCCAGCAGCCGCGGUAACACGGGGGGCGCAAGCGUUAUUCGGAAUUAUUGGGCGUAAAGGGCGCGUAGGCGGUCUUGUCGGUCAGAUGUGAAAGACCAGAGCUCAACUCUGGGCCUGCACCCGAAACUAUCUAGCUUGAGUAUGGGAGAGGCAAGUGGAAUUACCGGUGUAGCAGUAAAAUGCGUUAAUAUCGGUAGGAACACCAAUGGCGAAGGCAGCUUGCUGGAACAUUACUGACACUAAAUAGCGAAAGCGUAGGUAGCGAAUGGGAUUAGAUA
rnacentral:rRNA from 1 species